GGUUACUUCAGUGACGCGGAGGAGAGUUUCUAGAGGCAGCGAGGCUCGGGGGGGAGGGGAAACUAUUACUUGGGGUCGGUAUUAUACAAAGACUUUUCUCAGUGGAUUAUCAUUAUCAUCAGGAUUUCAGCCAGAAUGAGAUUUGUUCACGUAACCCUCUUCUGUCUCGGAUCUGUGACCUUCCUUGGGGCGGAUGCUACGAGGCUAGACGUCGCUUCGCAAUUCAAAAGAAAAUGGACCAAAUGGGCCCUGAGCCGGGCCAAGCGCGAUGCCAACCCGGCCGGCACGUUCAGCGAGCUAGCGGUAGCAGCUGACGGGCAGCCUCUCAUCCGGCCGCAGGACGUGAAAGAGGAUCCCCGAGUAUCGCCUCCCAGGUAACUCCUCGCAAGUCCGCCUGAGUCCCAGAUCUCCCCCCCUUGGGGGCGGUAAAAUCCCCUGGGAUCCGGCAUCGGCCUCGCCCGCUUUCAGCUGGCGGGAGGCGAGCAAGUGUGCGGUGGGAAGCCGCACAGAGCCGGGAACCUGAGCCCCGGGUACGCUGGAAUAGCAGCAUCCCUCAGACCGCGCGGUCACCUCCGCCGGGCGCUCGGGGCGGUAGCCAGGCGUGCAUCGCUUACCCCCCUCCCCGGC